rnacentral:rRNA from 1 species
AUCUGCGACCCCAGGUCA